CGAUCGACGAUGAUAGGGACAGUAGCUCUUGAAUAGCUGGUUGCAGCGAGCCGGGGAUGGUGGGAGCCCGGUAUCGGCGCAAGAGUGAACAUCACCCUGGAGUUCCAUGCCGAACGUCAAAGUAGGCCAUGGCGCGUCAUUCCCGUUACGAAUGAAAAGUGGGCUAUGCGUUGAUUUGUCAUGGCCAAAAAGGGUGGUACCGCGAGACCGUUCUCGUCCCUUGC
rnacentral:ncRNA from 1 species